UACGGAGGGUGCAAACGUUGCUCGGAAUCAUUGGGCGUAAAGCGCACGUAGGCGGUCCUUUAAGUCGGGUGUGAAAGCCCUCGGCUCAACCGAGGAAGUGCAUUCGAAACUGGGGGACUUGAAUACUGGAGAGGAUGGCGGAAUUCCCGGUGUAGAGGUGAAAUUCGUAGAUAUCGGGAGGAACACCAGCGGCGAAGGCGGCGACCUGGGUAGAUACUGACGCUGAGGUGCGAAAGCGUGGGGAGCGAACAGG
rnacentral:rRNA from 1 species